GACGAACGCUGGCGGCGUGCUUAACACAUGCAAGUCGAACGGUGAAGGGGUCUGCUUUUGUGGGCCCUGGAUGAGUGGCGAACGGGUGAGUAACACGUGAGUAACCUGCCCCCUUCUUCUGGAUAACCGCAUGAAAGUGUGGCUAAUACGGGAUAUUCUGGGUCUGUCGCAUGAUGGGUCUGGGAAAGAUUGCGCCUUUGGGUGUUUUUGGUGGGGGAUGGGCUCGCGGCCUAUCAGCUUGUUGGUGGGGUGAUGGCCUACCAAGGCGGUGACGGGUAGCCGGCAUGAGAGGGUGGACGGUCACACUGGGACUGAGACACGGCCCAGACUCCUACGGGAGGCAGCAGUGGGGAAUAUUGCACAAUGGGCGCAAGCCUGAUGCAGCGACGCCGCGUGAGGGAGGGAGGCCUUCGGGUUGUAAACCUCUUUCGCCAGUGAAGCAGGCCUGCUCCUUGUGGGUGGGUUGACGGUAGCUGGAUAAGAAGCGCCGGCUAACUACGUG
rnacentral:rRNA from 1 species